GCCUAUAAAGCAGAGGCAUUUCCCUGUCUCUCCGGCGAUCGAGAAACUUAUUUAUGAUGAACUGGACCGAAUGUUAGCAAUGGGAGUCAUAGAGGAGUCUUCAAGUCCUUGGUCCUCUCCCAUUGUUCUACAUAGGAAACCAGGGAAAAAUCGUUUGUGCCUCGAUAGUAGGAAGUUGAACGCCGUGACGGAAGGGGAUGCCUACCCACUUCCGCAUAUAGAGGGUAUUUUGAGUCGUCUGCCCAAAGCAGAAUAUAUUUCUAGUCUCGACUUAAAGGAUGCUUUUUGGCAGAUACCACUAGACGAAUCGUCGAAAGGUAAGACUGCAUUUACAGUUCCUGGGAGACCGCUCUAUCAUUUUAAAGUAAUGCCGUUCGGCUUAUGCAAUGCGCCGCAAACCAUGUGCCGACUCAUGGAUAGAGUGAUACCAGCGUCUCUCAGGACUGAGGUUUUGGUCUACCUGGAUGAUCUACUAGUGGUAUCUCCAACCUUUGAGAGACAUAUGGAAGUAUUGAAGGAGGUAGCUAAUUCUCUUAGAAUGUCAGGACUGACAAUAAAUGUCGAAAAGAGCAAAUUUUGCAUGAAAGAAGUUCGCUAUUUGGGUCACUAAUGGAUCGACUUACAGCUUACUGAGGAAAUUAAAUGCGUUGGAAGAUAGAUCCAUCAGUUUCAACAGGGAUGAUUCAUUUAACAUUGUUAGGAAUAGAGCAAUUCAAAAUAUGAAGAAAAUAUUUGAACGCAACGAAAAACAAUACAAUCUUAGAUCACGAGAAGUGUCAUAUAAAGUCGGACAAGAAGUUUUUAGAAGGAACUUUAGCCAGAGUAACUUCGAAAAAGGUUAUAGUUCGAAAUUGGCACCGACCUUUAUAAAGUGUAGAGUUCGUCGGAAAUGUGGAAACUGCAAUUACGAACUCGAAGACCUCCAAGGCAAAUUAAUAGGUAUUUACCACGCAAAGGAUAUUAGGCAAUAACCGGUAUCUACAUGCGGUAUCAUCCUUAACUUCUUUUUUUAGCCGUUAAGUCUGAUUUUUGGCGGGGGGUAAUGUAGUGGCGCAUGUAGACACUUGAAAUAAUCUCAUUUCUAUUUUUUUGUGUGGUUGUUUGGCACACAGUGAUUCAAGGUUAGGACACCUCUGUUCAUUUGCAUUGCAUUAGCUAAUGUUAACUUGCAUUUAUUCAUGUUAAAUUCCCUAUUCUCAGAGACUUAGGAAUGCAGUUCUAUAAUUAGAACAUUAAAAUGCAUUCUCAUUCACUUUAAUAUAUCGUAUUGUAUGCUAGUAACUUCCGAGGGGGUGUGCUAGAUACUUUGCUAGCCUCGCCCCUAUCUCGUCGGUAGCCAAGCGGGAGUGUCUCUGGUUCCCAUCCGCGAGACCCAGGUUCGAAUCUCGCUGCGGGUAAAUUUUUUUUUUGUUUUCUUUUUAUUUUUUUAAUGAAAUCGAUUAUUUUUUGGUUUAUUUGGUCUCAAAACAUUAAUGGUUUCGAAUGCCAAUGGUGAUAUUCAAUCACACAAUCAAUUUUCGGAGUCACCUAGUAUACUUUUGGUUGCCAUAAUUUCCCCUUACAAGGGUGGUGAGAAAUUAUGCUUUUCUUCUUCCACUUAUUUAUUAGUUUAUUGUCAACCAAUACGUUUGCGAAUUUUUUUGUAAUGAAAUGUUGAAGUAUUGGUAAUUCGAAUGAGCCAUGUUUGAUUUUGGAAGUUUUUUUCAUGUAUUGAUAUUCAGCCAUAAUCUUAGUGUAAUAACCGAGAUUACAAAAGGAGGUAGCAGAGGAGCCAUCUUGGUCAUUUUCGAGAAACUUUUGGUUAGUGAACACUAAAUUUUAAAUAUUGUUGGCGAAAAGGAACUUCUAUUGGUUGCCCCUAAUAUCCCAAGUUUUUUUUAUUAAACUGGCGGAGGGAAAAAAAAAGCUGACAAAAUCAUUGAUUUUGUUUAAAACAAUUUUUGGUGCAAACGUUGUGUUUUUUUUGUGCAAACGUUUUGACCUUCCGAUUGGUUUACAACAUCCCCUGGUCGUUGGAUUGGAGUUCCAUAUAUUUCCUGGGUCUGCAGUUUUUCUUUUAUAUCCUGGUGAUACCAUAAAAUCUGGAAUUUAACAUAGUCAUUGGAAUACCCUUUUCCCCGGUGCAUUUUGCAUACCGGUGUCCCCAUCACUCUACAGGUGUGUUUUUUUGCCCAGAGAGGAGACUGAGAUUCUGACUGAGAUUCGAUUUAGUUGAUAGAGUGUGUUGGUUACAGCGAGUGCUGCCGAUUACAUCUCGCAUAAAGUAAAGUUCGGCAUAGAAAUUCUGUGAUUUAGUUCAUGAAAUGGUGUUUGAAGAAGUUUUUAAUAACCAAAAGUGUAUUCACUAAGAAAGAAAACCUGCUUAAAAUUUGCUUGAAAAUCCAACAUAAAUUGCUUUGAAAAAAAAAGAAAAAUUUUAACUUAGUUUUUGUUACAAUAAUUUUAAGAGAGAGAGAGAGAUAAAAAAAAAUAUAUUAAAAGUGAAACAAUCAAAUUUGAAACAAAACGAAAAACCAAAGAGCAAAAGUUUGUGUGUGUACUUGGUCAUGUAAAAAAAAAACCAUAAUUUUCUAUACCAUCUUUUUGUAAAAAAAAAAGAAAAAAAAUAACAACAAAAA